rnacentral:ncRNA from 1 species
UUAAAUGCAUUGAAGGGAAGAGUAACAAAUGGGAAUGCUUAAAAGAGAGCUGGAGAGGGUGAAAGCCAGCAGUAUGAAAAUUUGUGAACAUGGCCCCUGAGCAUAUUAUCUGAAUAAAAGUAGGAUAAUACGGCAGCAUCCGUUAUAAUGCACAGUGAUAAAAAUCUAUUUUUAUAAUAAAUAGAUAGAGUCACUUAGCAAGGUAUCUAUGGUAACAUAGAUACGAAUUAGAGUGGUAACGCGUAUAUUACGCCUCUAUG